rnacentral:sRNA from 1 species
UUUUAAAAUUAAUAAUAUAGAAAAAAGUUACCCUUAUAAUAAUAAAUAUAAUAAUAUUUAUUAAUAUGUACCAAAAAAAAAAAAAAAAAAAAAAAAAAAGUUACAUUUAUUAUUUUAUAAAUAUCAAUAUAUAUAAAUAAUCCGUUUUUCUAGGUAAUUCAUUUUUUAUAUGUUUCUUAACAUUUUUAUAGAUAUAGAAAAAAUUUUAUCAAAUAUUAUUCUAUUUAUUCUUAUAAUUUCUUUUGAAUUUUAAAAUAUUUAGAUUUAUUCUUUUAUAACACUACAAUAAAUCUUAGGUAUAAAUAAAUGUAUAUAUAUAUAUAUAUAUAUAUAUAUAUAUAUAUAUAUAAUAAUAAAUAUAUAUUAUAAUUUAUUUAUAUUUUAAAUAUUUUACGGCUACAUUAAUGAAUUUUUUUGUUUUUCUUAAAUUAUAUAAAUUUUACAUGUUUAAAAAAAUAAAACUAUUUAAUAAAUAAACAUAUAAAAGUAUUUAUAUAUAUAUAUAUAUAUAUAUAUUUGUUUUUUCUUUUAAACAACUGAUAUAAUAUUAUUGCUCACAUUUUUAUCCAUUUUACUAAUUAAAUAUACAAAAAUUAUUUACUUUAAAAAAAAACACAACAUAUAUUUUUUUAUUCUUAAAUUAUAUAAAUAUGUCAAAAAAAAGUAAUAAUACAGAAGAUAACAACAACAGUAAAAAAAGCCAACCUACAAUUAAAUGUAUAACAAAAUGUGGUACUCAUACAAGUAACUCAAAUAUAAAGAAAGAAAAGAAAAAAAAAAGAUUCAAUAUCUUUUCCGCUAUUGCUAAAAAAUUUUUUUUAAGUGUUAUUGUAUAACGAUGUGUUUCUAACUAUUAAUAAUGUAAGAUAAAAUAAAAAAAAAUAAUAAUUUUUCUUUAUCUUUUUCUCAAUAAUAUCAACAUAUAUAAAUUCAUAAUAUUUAAACUUAAUUAUUUUAUAUAUAUAUAUAUAUGUACACAUCAUAUAUUUCUUAUUUUUUUUUUUUUUCCGUCCUUUUUUCAAAUAAUACUUUUUUAUAGAACAACACCUUAUACAUUUAAGUAUGCAAAAAAAUGUCUUAAAAUUUUAAAUGCCUUAUUAAAUUAAAAUGUUAUAAUAAACUCAACAGGAAAAUAAAGAGCAAUGUGAAUAUAUAAAUAAGUAAAUCAUAAUAUAUAUUAAAUAAUUUUAAUUUGAACAUCUAAAUUCAGAAUAAGAAAAAAAAAAUAUAUAUAUAAUAAUAAUAAUAAAUAAUACAAAAUAAUUAAAUCUGAAAUAACAAAAUGAAUAAAUUGAUAAUAUCAAAAUAUAAAGACAAGCACAAAUAAUAAAAGAGUUUAACCCUAAUUACUAUAAUGGUUACAAUUGACUUAAGGAGAAAUAUCUCAAAUAAAUAGAAUAUAGAAAAAAAUAAAUAAUAUAUAUUUAUAUAUGUUAAAAAUAAAAUCUAAAUUAUAUACUAUAAGGAUAAGUUAAUUUGGAUAAAUAUAAAUAUUUAUAUAUUUUAUAAUGAAACUUAUAAGUAAUUUUUAGGUACAUUUUCUUAUAUAUAUAUAUUUAUUUUUUAUUUGUAUUAAUUAUAGCUUUUCCUAAAAUAAUACAAAAAACAACUUGUUAUUUUUUUUUUAAACCUCCAUUUAUGGGAAGAUUCUUUCUUUCCGUUUAUCUUAUUUUUUUUUAUUUAUAUUCCUUUUUUUCUUUUUUAAUUACAACUUGAAUUUAAAAUUUUCAUAACUUUUUUUUUAAAAAAAAUUU